GAUGAACGCUGGCGGCGUGCCUAAUACAUGCAAGUCGAGCGAACAGACGAGGAGCUUGCUCCUCUGACGUUAGCGGCGGACGGGUGAGUAACACGUGGAUAACCUACCUAUAAGACUGGGAUAACUUCGGGAAACCGGAGCUAAUACCGGAUAAUAUAUUGAACCGCAUGGUUCAAUAGUGAAAGACGGUUUUGCUGUCACUUAUAGAUGGAUCCGCGCCGCAUUAGCUAGUUGGUAAGGUAACGGCUUACCAAGGCGACGAUGCGUAGCCGACCUGAGAGGGUGAUCGGCCACACUGGAACUGAGACACGGUCCAGACUCCUACGGGAGGCAGCAGUAGGGAAUCUGCCGCAAUGGGCGAAAGCCUGACGGAGCAACGCCGCGUGAGUGAUGAAGGUCUGCGGAUCGUAAAACUCUGUUAUGAGGGAAGAACAAAUGUGUAAGUAACUAUGCACGUCUUGACGGUACCUAAGCAGAAAGCCACGGCUAACUACGU
rnacentral:rRNA from 1 species